rnacentral:rRNA from 1 species
GGGGAAUAUUGCGCAAUGGGCGAAAGCCUGACGCAGCGACGCCGCGUGAGGGAUGAAGGCCUUCGGGUCGUAAACCUCUUUCAGCAGGGAAGAAGCGCAAGUGACGGUACCUGCAGAAGAAGCACCGGCUAACUACGUGCCAGCAGCCGCGGUAAUACAGGGGAUGCAAGCGUUAUCCGGAAUUAUUGGGCGUAAAGGGUCCUGAGGUGGCUAUCCAAGUCUAUUGUGAAAUAUCAGGGCUUAACCCUGAACAUGCGGUGGAAACUAGAAAGCUUGAGUACAGUAGGGGCGGAGGGAAUUUCCGGUGGAGCGGUGAAAUGCAUAGAUAUCGGGAAGAACACCAACGGCGAAAGCACUCCGCUGGGCUGAUACUGACACUGACAGACGAAAGCUAGGGUAGCGAA